UACGUAGGGCGCAAGCGUUAUCCGGAAUUAUUGGGCGUAAAGAGCUCGUAGGCGGUUUGUUGCGUCGGCUGUGAAAUCCCGAGGCUCAACCUCGGGUCUGCAGUCGAUACGGGCAAACUAGAGUGUUGCAGGGGAGACUGGAAUUCCUGGUGUAGCGGUGAAAUGCGCAGAUAUCAGGAGGAACACCGGUGGCGAAGGCGGGUCUCUGGGCAACAACUGACGCUGAGGAGCGAAAGCGUGGGGAGCGAACAGG
rnacentral:rRNA from 1 species